rnacentral:rRNA from 1 species
ACUUCUGAAUGUUGACCUCGGAUCAGGUAGGAAUACCCGCUGAACUUAA